CCCCCACGGACCCCCCAGACCUUCGAGAUCAUUUUCCGGGAGGUAGGAGGGGGCGGGUGGCCUUUGUCCCUGAUGUCCCCCAUCCCGACGGCAUGCCAAGCUGGUGUGUGUCCCCCCCCCACCUCCUUGACACCCCCCUCUGCCCGCAGCAAUACUGGCAGCGGCCGGAUGGGCAACCGGCAACGCGGGAGCAUCUCCUGAUGGCUUUGGCCGACCUGGAUGAGAUCCUCAUCCGAGCCACCUACUCCACCAGCACGGCUGCAUCCAGCAUCGCAGACGUUGCCAUGGAAACAGCCGUGCCCCCCCAGCCUGGCCUCCCCCCGGCCGCUGAGGUGGAGGAGUGUCGCUGCCCCCCCGGGUACCACGGGCUGUCCUGCCAGGUGAGCCCCCAGCAUCCCCCCUCAGCAUCCCCGUCAUCACCCCCCCUUCCCACAGAUAGUUGCAGAGGGGGUGUCACAACACUGAACCCCCCUUUUUCUUCCCCCCUUGGCAGGACUGUGCCCCCGGUUACACCCGCACUGGGGGGGGGCUGUACCUGGGGCACUGCGAGCUCUGUGAGUGCAACGGGCACUCGGAGAGCUGCCACCCCGAGAGCGGCGUCUGCUCCGUAAGUCUUGAUGUUAAGCAGGUUUUUUGGGGGGGGCUGGGGUCUCAUCCCAGCUGUGACCCCCCCAGUUUGUGUGUGUCCCCCCCAGGGAUGCUUGCACAACACGGCAGGGGAUUUCUGUGACCAAUGUGCCCCCGGUUUCUACGGGGAUGCCACCGCCGGUACCCCUGAGGACUGCCAGCCCUGCGCCUGUCCCCUCCCGUACCCCGAAAACCAGUUCUCCAGGACCUGUGAGAGUUUGGGAGGCGGCGGGUACCGCUGCACCGCCUGCGAGCCGGGCUACGCCGGGCAGUACUGCGAGCGCUGUGCACCUGGCUACGUGGGGGACCCCACAGCGCGUGGCCAGGCGUGUGUCCCAGGGGGGUCCCCGCACCCCCUGGCUGUCCGUGUCCACCCGCCGCGCACCACGGUGGCGCAGGGCAGCGCCGUCACCCUGCGGUGCCAGGCCAGCGGCGACCCCCCCUUCUAUUACCACUGGGCGCGAGAAGAUGGGCGACCCCUCCCCGAGGGCGCCCAGAGCCGGCGACAAGGUAUUGGGGUGGCUUUGGGGGACGCACCGGGGUGUCCCCAAGGUGGAGGGGACGUGGGGUAUCACCCAUGUGUCCCCCCCUCUAGGCGAGGAGCUGCACUUUGCCAGCAUCCAGCCCUCUGAAGCCGGCGUCUACGUCUGCUCCUGCCGCAACCUGCGGCACAGCAACGCCAGCCGCGCCGAGGUCAUUGUCACCGGUAGGUCGUUGUCACCGAGGGGGGGGACGGGACGCACGGGGACGAAGGGGAGGAGCAGGGGGGGGCUCAGCUUUCCUGUCUUGGCACAGAGACUCCAGGCAAACCCAUCACCGUCACCGUGGAGGAGAAGCGGGUGCAGCGGGUGAAGCCCGGGGCUGACGUCACCUUCGUCUGCACCGCCAAGAGCAAGGUGAGCCA
rnacentral:lncRNA from 1 species